AUCCAAUAUUCUAAAUCAGCUACACUUUCUUUUAGGUUUCUAACACACAUGUUGCUGCUGUCCCGGUCCACAGCAAAGCUUCAUCCACUGCAGGAGAUACAACGGUUUGGGAUUUUAAAACUAUCCCUUUAAGGCCAAUAAAAUGAAAUGUGACCUUUGCUUGGCAUCAUUCCAUUACUGUCACGUUCUCUUGUCUUCUUCUCUUAUCUUUUUUUGCUCGUUCAUCAUUUCACUCUCCUCCCUCUUGCAUCGAAACCACCGGUCAGGAUCACGGACGAGCAGGUCGCCGCCGAACAUCCUCGCUGCCCGAGGACCAAACGGGACCCGCGGCCCAAAAAUAAGCCGGGACAUUUUUUGGGACGCCUUUGAUGGGCUGCAGGAAACAACUAAUCCUCAUAACAAAUGUCCUGAGUGAAGAGGAAGAUGGUUUUGGACCAUCAUCAGAGCGAAGAGCGAUCCGGCCAUGUGCUCUCCGUAUGCUUCACACAGCUGACUCUGGAUUUCCGCUGUGAUGCUUCAAACGGGCACGUCUCUCCCCAUCAUUCUUCCACUAUCGCCGCCUCUUCACAAGUUUAAAGCCUCACGGACUCAAAGAGAGCCGCAAAGGAAAAAGUAGAUACCAGGAAGUGUGUGUGUGUGUGUGUGUGUGUGUGUGUGUGUGUGUGUGUGUGUGUGUGUGUGUGUGUGAGAGAGGCAGGAUGGAAUGAGGGGAAGUCAGACCAGAUGAGAGACAUCGACUGACGCAAAAGAGAGAAGGUUGAAUUCACCUUUAUGCAGGUUGCUCUAUUUGAUGUUUAACAAGUAGCUGCACAAAAAAUAUUAUUAUAUAUAUUAAGUAUUUAAGCGAUAUAUUGAGCUGUUUAUCUGGGAAAUGUUUCGGAUUUAGGAGAUACAUUUUAGAGCGUCUUAAGAGGAGAAAACACGAAAGGGGAAGAAAAGUUAGCGGAUCGAUUAUCGGAGGGAUGCAAAGCUCAAUCCUCAGAUUCUGCUGUGAGCAGUGCAGCCUGAGGUGAAGAUACAAAAAGUAACUGGUUCCAAACGCAAAGGUUUAACGUAACGAGGAGACACAGACGGGAGACGAGGCCAAAGGGCUCGGGGGGUCAUUGCAGGGCGCUCUGCGUCUCAUCCGAGGCUCCGGGCGGAUUAAGACUUCGCUCUGCGGCAUCGGACCGUCUGCAGGUCGUUUAUCAGACGAGAUGUUGGGAGACGAGAUGACGCACGGCGAGGGACGUUGCACCACAGAGGCUCUCGUUGCUUUUGACGUUGAGUUAUUAUCGAUUUAACCACCAACAACGUGGAUUCAGGAAGACUUGGGACAUGGAAUUGAUUGAAUUUAGUUUUCAUUGUGUGUGUUUGUGUGUCUUUACGUGCCCAAAUACAGGAUCUGGUUUUACAAAUCUGUGACUCAAGUGCACUUUAUGAAAUGGACUUUCUUGUAAAAGUAUAAUUAGGCAGAGUUCCUGGUCGUGGUCACGAAUGUGCCGAGGCGGCUGAGCUGGUGGCCCUUCUUCUGCUUGUUCCACAGACCGAAGUCAAAGCAAACAGGACUGAGACACAUUAAAAUAAAAGCAUUAUCGGCAUAUCUUCAGGUGAGAGGGAGAGUUGUAACAUCUCCCAGCUGCUAGAGAGCAAACCGUGAGGCAUUACUCUCGGUUUGAGUCUGCGAAACGAGAGAAACGUCCUGGUUAAGGAACGCAGAGGUUUAUGGAAUCCUCCAGGGAGCGCGGAGCAGCACUAACAUCUUGUCUCGUGAACAACACUCACAACACUUGACAACAUUACACGGAGGAGCUUUUUCCCCGGGAGCUAAAUCAGUGAAGUAUUUAUCUCCUCAUUUUCCAGAUCAUUUGAACCUUUGUGGAGGCGCGACGGAGAUGUAAACACAGCCUCCCACCGUGGAGCGGAAAAUGUCUCCUGCUCUAUUUCGUGUUCCUCCACAGGCAACAAAGUGGGUCCCUCAAACUGACGCUUAAUACUACAGCGUGGGACGAGAAGAACAAUUGGUGGCAUCCAGCUUUUUCUCCUUGAUCCCUUCUUGGAACAGAAGAGAGCACCUGCACACCUUUACAAAGGCUGACUCCAUGUCGCCUCGUGGUCCUCUGGAUGUCCCUGUGGAUGUCCCUCUAGAUGUCCCUCAGGUUGUCUCUCUGGAUGUUCCUCUGGAUGUCCCUCAGGUUGUCUCUCUGGAUGUUCCUCUGGAUGUCCCCCUGGAUGUCCCUCUAGAUGUCCCUCUAGAUGUCCCUCAGGUUGUCUCUCUGGAUGUUCCUCUGGAUGUCCCUCAGGUUGUCUCUCUGGAUGUUCCUCUGUAUGUCCCUCAGGUUGUCUCUCUGGAUGUUCCUCUGGAUGUUCCUCUGGAUGUCCCUCAGGUUGUCUCUCUGGAUGUUCCACUGGAUGUCCCCCUGGAUGUUCCCCUGGAUGUCCCUCUGGAUGUUCCAGGAGAUGAGGAGCAGAGGACCAGCAGCAUCCUCGCUGCACAGCAACGUGUGUGUGAUGCACAUAAACUAGCAUGUAACUCUACAUGUGAUUCCCAUCGUUGUCACAUAUUUCCAGUCAGUAUGUUGAUUGUUUGUGGAAAUGAAUUCGGGACUUGAAACCCUUUCCACAGACUCCAUGGGCCACAUUGUGUGCGGUAUAAACACAGCUAGAUACACUCGACCACACCAGAUAUUGCUUUCUGUCACGGAAACAACAUCCUGAACACGCAGCACUGAAGACAAAGGAGAAUCGAGAUAAUCCAGUUUGCAGGAGAGAACAACGUUGUAGAAAAGAGCUCAUAAAGAGACGUAAUCCAAUCUGAGAAAUUACAGAUUCCUCCCUUCAUAUCAAUGUGUGUGUGUGUGUGUGACUGUGUGCACGAGGCUCAUAUAAGAGGAGGAGCCGCAGAGAGAAAUCUGAGAUCUUAAAUCAUGUAGCGUCUGUGAGGGAAUUUGUUGGCGGUGUACGCGAGAUCAGCUGGUAGCGACACAAACACGCCUCACCUUCUCGCAUCGAGCUCGACCGUACGAGAGCUGUUUGGACGAGGACAUCACGUCUCACUAACGUUACAUCUGGGGGCUGUUGCGUGCACAGUAGGAAAGCUGCACGCUUUCCUUGAAGGUUUGACAGCAUUUCGGAGUUAAAUCCCUUCGGUGUGACAGUGAGGGUUACAUUUCAUUUUAGCUUUGGCACAAAACCUGAAUCCAUCUCUGUGAAAGGAUGAUUCACACCUCCACUAAAUGAAUUAAAGUGGUGAGAACUGAGCCCUGUGUUGUUGGCACACAGUCUAUACAUUAAGUGAGACGUCCACGGAACCUCGUGAAUAUUCAUGCGGAGUCGUUUGUCACGCUGUUCACUCGUGCAGAAACGAUCUGGAUCAGUGCGCCAACAAGCUGGUUUUCCUCUCGCAUGAACACGCUCGCAGAUUUCCGGUUUCUUCUUUUUACUUUCACACGUUAUUUCCCGUAUUUUAAAACUUUUCCUCAUCUUACUCGCUGCUGAAAGGAGGUGGACUCACUCCAGGAUGAAAUGGAUCGGCUUGAUUAACAUGAAGCUAAUUGGCGUUGACCUCCCGUGAGCCCCGCUGGGACGGCGAGGCGCGUGGAACCGGACCUCACGAGUUACACACGAUCCAACGAGCAGCCCGGAGCUCAGACCAGCUAUGGAAUAUAAGUGUUUGGGAAGUUCUGGAAGAGUUUUCGAGAGUGACUCGAGCAUCAAGUGUGUGUGGGACCGCGGCUUUUGCGAGUCCGUCGUGGUCGCUGGCCCCUUCGUACACAAACUCUCUUCCCAGAAGAGAAUCGGCCUCGUUGAGACGAAAACAAACCAAACGAUCUGCGGCAUCUUUCUUCAUCGCGCGUCUGAUUGAUGGCGUUUGAGCUGCAGCGGAGCGGGAAAACAUUUGGAGGCACACGCAGGCGUGACUUGGUGUGCCUGGGCAGAGUGAGGCGUUCGCUCAGGAGUCAUGAGGGCACCGCGUGUGCAAAUACUACCGCGUGUGCAAAUACCCGUUGGGUUUCGCCGAACGCCUCCCUAUCUGGCAGCGCCGAUUUGAAACAAACACUUUAAGAAUCACUUGCAAAUCGCUGUUAAGAUUUAUUGAGACUGUGGGUGUGUGAGUGGGUGUGAGUGGGUGAGGGGAGGGGUUGGCAUGGGG
ensembl:lncRNA